AGUGGUGUAUCAGUACCUACUAGAGUAUUGAUUGGGUAAACUCUUGAGUUUUGCGGAACUGAGAGCUGUACUGGUAGUGAUGUUUGAGAGUAUUGGUGCUGAUAUUUGGGAGUACCGGUACUGAUGUUUAGAGAAUUGGUACACAAUAGAAAUCAGCUGCGUACAGGAUUCGAGUUUGCAGAAUUGACCUUGAGUAUCGGAAUGCCAUGUAUA
rnacentral:lncRNA from 1 species